GGAAUGGGAAAUAAUGAUUGAUCGCAGGUAAUGGCUAGUAAGUGAAACGAUACAGCCAUAAAACAGGAUGAAUUAUUGUUACAAAUAAAUAACUAUUUAUAAUGCAUUAUAAAUCUAAUACAAUGUAAUUUGGACGAUUAAGGAGUUCCAGGAAUUUGACAUAUGGUUAGAGAUCGGUGUACAUUAAGGAAUAUGGAACACAUAUGCGUGCCCCUGUAUCUUUGGAAAAAACUCGAGGGAAAAAGAGAGAAGCCAAUGGAUUUUUUCAUAACCUAGAUUCGCGUAUCAACGGCUCGUGCUGGCUAGGCCUCUACACCUUCGAAAGUGGUCUCUUCCUUCUCUUUUGUCUCGCAACACUAUACAAAUUGUACAUCCUUUCAAGGACUUCCAAUAUCCCAAUGAAUAUUCAGGGA